UGCUGGGCUGGGGUUGGGGAUUUAGCUCAGUGGUAGAGCGUUUGCCUAGCAAGCACAAGGCCCUGGGUUCAAUCCUCAGCCAGCAA